rnacentral:rRNA from 1 species
UACAGGGGGGCAAGCGUUGUUCGGAAUUACUGGGCGUAAAGGGCUCGUAGGUGGCCAACUAAGUCAGACGUGAAAUCCCUCAGCUUAACUGGGGAACUGCGUCUGAUACUGGAUGGCUUGAGUUUGGGAGAGGGAUGCGGAAUUCCAGGUGUAGCGGUGAAAUGCGUAGAUAUCUGGAGGAACACCGGUGGCGAAGGCGGCAUCCUGGACCAACACUGACACUGAGGAGCGAAAGCCAGGGGAGCAAACGGG